rfam:Klebsiella pneumoniae IS46, WGS project CBWL01000000 data, contig: rep_c953
AAGUUUUGGUGACUGUGCUCCUCCAAGCCAGUUACCGCGGUUCAAAAGAGCGUCAACUCUUGCGAACCUUCGAAAAACCACCUUGCCGGGUGGUUUUUUCGU